GCGGAAAUUAUCACUUGAACUGAUUCACUCGCUCAAAUAAAAAAGAAAUCAAGAACACAAAAAGCAGAAGAGGAACAAGCAAAGGAAAUUGCUGGGCGAUCUUGUCGCUAGGGUUUUCGCUGUGACAGCACUAUACUAAUGUCUUCGAAACCAGAAUUUAUCGCCAAUUCUCAUCUCUCAGUUGCCACCUUUAGUUUCCUGAGUUCCUUGUGCACAAGCAUUACUGUCUUAUAAUUCGAGAGGGCCGAAAACGGCCUUGUUUGUUCCCCCAGAGAAUAGUGAAAAAUAAAGCAGAGCAAGGUAAAAGUUCUUCUAUAAUGGUACAAGUCAACGGAGAAGGGAGCAUUUCAUUCGAAUGGGGUAAAAAACGAGGACUUGGUGGGAUGAAGAAAGAUGUACAAUUUUAUGAAUCUUUUACAUACGAUGGUGUGGAAUACAAACUUUAUGAUUCUGUUUAUAUGUAUGCGGAGAAGGAGCCUGAGCCUUACAUUGGUAAACUGAUAAAAAUAUGGGAGACCUCUAAUAAGGAAAGGAAAGUGAAAAUUCUGUGGUUCUUUCGCCCCUGUGAGAUUUCAAAUUACAUCGAAGUUGAUAAGACCUUGGAGAAUGAAUUGUUUUUGGCAUCUGGUGAAGGUGUAGGCCUUGCAAAUGUUAAUCCUUUGGAAGCAAUUGCUGGAAAGUGCAACGUUGUAUGCAUUUCAAAGGACAGCAGAAACCCGCCGCCUUCAAAUGAACAACUUCAAAUGGCUGAUUUCAUAUUUUACCUUACAUUUGAUGUUGAGUUUCAUGUGAUCUCAGAUAAGAUUGAUGAUAAAAUUGCUGGAGUUGAUGUUAAGUUUUUACUUAACAGAGUGAAUAAUCAGAAAUCCAUUGCUGAUCCUAAACCUGAUUCAAACAAGAAAGAUCUCAGCGGAAAUGCUGUAGUCAAUGAUGGAGCAGUAGUUUUGUCUGAGGAGAAUGCAUUGGGGGAACAUAAAACUUUAAAGUCGGAUGAAAGGUCACUUAAUGCUUCAGCAAAACAAAGACUACAUUGUAAAGACUUAUCUGCUGACCAUAAGUCUUCGCUUGAACAGAAACUUGCUUCUUCUGGAGGUAAAGAUAUAUUGGAAAUGGUUAAAAGUGACCAUCCCCAGGGUAAUUUAUCUGGUGACAAGAGCAAGUCAAAACUUAAAGAAGAUGCAGAGUUGGUAAAAUCAUCUGUCAAACAGAAAUCAUCUCUUAGAGAGAAGCCUACUUCUGAUAUAGGUGUUCAAUUAGGUGAAGUGGUGAAAAUUAAUGUUCCACGGAAAAAUUCUGCCAGUGAUAAGACCUGUUCAAGAUUUAAUGAUAAAGAAAUUGCAGAUCAGAAACCUUCCUUGGUUAAACAAAAAUCCUCAAUAGCAGAAAAUUGUGCAUCCAAUUUAGGUGUAGGGUUGGGUGAAGUGGCAAAAAGUAAUAGACAGGAAUGCUUGUCCAGUGAGAAGAUUGCUUCAAGGGUUAAGGAUGAUCAUGUCAGGGAUGAAAGUAAAGAAGUUCCUGCAGUCGAGGUUCAAGUUGAAGAGACUGUAAAAGCUGCCAAGGAUUCUGGUACAGGGAAUGAGAGACCAUCUAAGAAAGCAAAACUUGAGGGCUCUGUGAAAGCAUCUGGUGAGAAUAACAAGAAAAUUGACCAAAAAUUAAAUCAUGAUUCCAGUGGCAUUGAUGUCAAUACUGUAGAUCAAACAGCUACUACUCCUGAAGACAAACCCAAACAUAAACUUGUGAUGGAUCUGCAUGGAAAUGAGAAUAUCAUUUCUAAGAAGCCAAAACUUGAUGAGAAGCUCACAAAACCUUCUCAUGGCAAAUUGCCUAAAGCAUCUCCCAGAGAUGUUUCAAAUGAUGCCAGCAAAUCUAAUAAUCAAGCAUUGGAAGUCACUCGAAGACCAGAUGCUGAUAAGAGCAAGUGGUUUACUGUACCUCCAUGGGAACCAUCUAUGAGAACUGCUCAUGCAGAAGGGAAGCUUGUCUUACUUCAGAAUUUGGAUCCAUCUUGCACUGCUGCAGAAGUGGAAGUAAUAUUCAUUCUGGAAUCCUAGUUCUUUAAUAGGUUAAAUUGUAUUGCUAGUAUGGCAGGAUAUUGUUUGGCAUGCUUUCAAGGAAAAUUGCAGGGCAAAGGUGAUUCAACAGACUGCAUUUUCUAGCCCUUACUCUGGUCAAGCUCUUGUUAUAUUCAAAACAAGGGAAGCUACUAGGAUGGUCGUUAGAAAACUCAAUGAAGGUUGCCUAUUGCUAUCAAAUGGGAGGCCUCUGGUCGGCAGCGUUGCAAGUCUUAAUUUCCCUGGAAAGUCAUCAACAUUUUUCGGUCAUAUCUCUAUCGAUAAACUUAGGCUCCAAAUGCAACGGGAGAUGAAAGAAGCUGUAUCUACUUCUCAUUGUUCUCAGCCCAACACAAUUGAGUAUGAUAUGGCCAUGGAUUGGUGCUUAUUACAAGAAAGAACACAGCUAGAGUGGAAACAAUUGUACAAGCAACAAGGGCAGGAGUUGAGAAAACUUAAGGCUACUUUGAAGUCCAAAUGAACUGAAGUUUAUUUGUUUGCUCUUGGAAAUGGUUUCAGAUUGGCCAAAGAACACAAAUACGUAAAUGGAAGCCUGUGAUGGUUCGAUUUUGGCAUUCAACAACGGUAAUGAUUCCUGAAAUGCGCUUCUUCUUGCCGAAAUAGGAAGAAUGCUAACGUACCUGAGGCUGGAGUUCCUUCUAUGGGAUAACCAAGGAAACUCUUCCUGAUGAAAAGGCCUCAACGGAUUAGUUUUAGGGCACUCCCACCUUGAUGUUGCCUUAUAAAUAAUAUAAAUGUAGAAUAUCUUUCUGGUUCAAGUAUAUUCAUCAGGGUGGAAUUUUGUCAUGUCUUAAAUUUCUGAGGUCGACAGCUGUCUAGAUCUUAAAUGCCAUUCUGAAGCAGGAGCCAAAGCAUGGACCUUUGCUUCUUCAUUUGGAGAUGCUGGGUCAUUAAAAAGGUGUACGCAGGUAUGGGCCAAGAGAUGUUGUUCCUACUAGCAGACAAUAUAAAAUUCGUUCUUGUUUGUUCUGAAGCAAAAAAAUUCGCUCCUUUUCGGCCGAAAGUUUGAUGUUUAGGUCUUGUUAGUUGGUCUGUUUAGGCUUUCGCUGUCACCAUUGAACUUGGAUUUUGAAUGUUAACUGGAUAUAGCAAUUUCCUAAAUUAAGCAAAAUUGAAAAUUACUGGACCA